rnacentral:rRNA from 1 species
UACGGGGGGAGCAAGCGUUGUUCGGAUUUACUGGGCGUAAAGAGCGCGCAGGCGGUCGUUCAAGUCGAGUGUGAAAGCCCCCGGCUCAACUGGGGAGGGUCACUCGAUACUGAUCGACUCGAAGGCAGGAGAGGGAAGUGGAAUUCCCGGUGUAGUGGUGAAAUGCGUAGAUAUCGGGAGGAACACCAGUGGCGAAGGCGACUUCCUGGCCUGUUCUUGACGCUGAGGCGCGAAAGCUAGGGGAGCAAACGGG